GACUUUCAACUUUAGAUGAAAAGAACAGUCCAAGUACUAGGUGAAGCAGAGUGAACAACUGUUAACUAAAGGAGAGAUGGAUAUUUAAGCACACCAUGAGAGCCUGCUAAUUCCUGUGGAUUGUAUUGGAGCAGAUUUUAGGAUCGAGCGUCUGCCCCAUGGUGGUGACAGAAGAUCAGUUUUCACUGCUCAACAAGAACUUGAAAUUUGUAAUAUGGUCGUAGCAAACAAUGCUAUUAGACUAAAAUAUUCAAAGUGCAGUCAUACAAGAUGACGGCAUCUUUCAAAAUGUCAACACCGUCAACCUCUCCGCAAUUGAUAGAGUGCUGAAUAGACAUCAGAUUGCAAUGAAGCAACUCUGCAAGGUACCUUUUGAGAGGAAUGGUGAGAGUGAAGGAGCUGAGCUACCAGUAUGUACAGAGAAUCCCCACACAUUUUUGUGUAUGUUGAUGAGGCAGGAUUCAACUUGACCAAAGUCGGGAGACGUGGCUGUAAUAUUAUUGGUCACCGAGCCACUGCUGAUGUGCCAGGCCAGCGUGGAAGGAACAUUACAAUGUGUGCUGCCAAAUGUGGGAAUGGUGUACUCGGCCACAUUCCCAUCAUUGGGCCCUAUAACACACGUCUCCUCAAUUUCCUGGAAACUCUUUACAGGGAUGUCAUUCCUGAGAAUGAGUGGGCUGGUCACAUAGAGUGGUGUGCUGAACGUACCACGUGAUGUGAGGAUUGUACUUAAGAGUUUUGACAAUUGUGUACCAUGUUCCUGUGGCAGUCAUUCUUUGGUCAUCUACAUCUCUGUAGGAGUGUGUUUGCUCCUACUCACAGUCAUUGCUGUCUCUGCAUAUUACAUAAGAUCACCAAACUUCACAGCUAAACACGUGUAACAAGUGUGAUGAAAACAUUCUGUUCUUGUGUAUUAUUAAAGUUCUAAAUUUCUUUCCAUAAAAAGGCAUGUUCAAAAAGAGCCUCAAACUACAAUUCCAAUUUACAAAGACAUGUCAAGUGUACAAGGAACAAGUAGCAGUACAGGUCUGUCCACAGGAUCCUAAAAAGCCUGCUUCAGCCAUCUCGAAGGGGAGGAAUUGGUUGGAGAAUCAUUAUUCAUCCCCCAAGAGGACAAAUUGUUUGGGACGGCAUUAGGGAAAAUAAUCCUGAAAUGCUGGCAAAUAUUUUAACUUUCAAUUUCUGAUCCAUUUACUGUUCAGCUAUAAACAGUUUGUGUCCAUGUAUUAGUAUAACAUUUAUUCCAGGAACAUGUUUAAGUUUAUAGGCAAUUGUGGUGGUUCCUAGUACCUUUUAUUACAUGACGCUCUGGAAUAUUCAAUUCUGAUUGGUCAGUGGUGCCAUCUAGCGGUCUGAUAUCACUGCGUAACAACCACACAUCCAAGGAUUAAAGGGAUAGUUCACCCACAAAGGAAAAUUCUCUCAUUUACUCACCAUCACGCCAUCACAGAUGUGUAUGACUUUCUUAACACAAAUGAAGAUUUUUAGAAGAAUAUCUCAUUUCUGUAGGUCCAUACAGUGCAAGUGAAUGGUGACCAGAAUUUUAAAGGUCCAAAAAGCAUAUAAAGGCAACAUAAAAGUAGUCCAGACGAAUUUAGAAGUUAAAUCCAUGUCGUUAGGAGCUAUAUGAUAGGUGUGGGGUGAGAAACAGAUCAAUAUUUAAGUCCUUUUCUUCCUCCCAGUGUAGUCUGGUGACUACAUUUUCUAAGGCAUCAUGAAAACAAUAAGCAAAUUAUACUGUGUGGUGUCCGUUCGCUGUCUGAUACAGUGUUUUCCUCUGAAUAUUUUUUUCUUAAACUUGUUAACUUUGUGCGAAGACUCUUGGGUUGUUGAUGACUAAGAUGUACACAUUUUUUCAACAUCGACUUUCAAGUUAAUAUUAAUUUUCAGCUUAGAAUUUUAUAACUUUUAACAGUAUAGUGUUGGAAAUCCCAGUAUUUUAAAUCACCUUUUAGCAUUUUUUUGCCAUUAAUUGAAACAGUCCUGAUAUGUUUUUUUUUUAGUACUUGUGCAUUCGUGUAAUCUAAUAAUCUAAUGUAAUCUAAAUAAAUGAGGUCAUAAAA